GACGAACCGAGCGAACGUUAUUCGGAAUCACUGGGCUUAAAGGGCGCGUAGGCGGUCAGACCAAGUCGAGUGUGAAAUUCCAGGGCUUAACUCUGGCGCGCUCGCUCGAUACUGGUCGGCUAGAGUGUGGAAGAGGAUGCUGGAAUUCCCGGUGUAGCGGUGAAAUGCGUAGAUAUCUGGAGGAACACCCGUGGUGCAGACGGCUUGCUGGACCAUGACUGACGCUGAGGCACGAAAGCGUGGGUAGCAAACAGG
rnacentral:rRNA from 1 species